GUCUGACACGGUCCGACGGUGGCAAGUCUUGCCCCGACGUACGGCCGUGGCGCCAUGAC
rfam:Pseudomonas fuscovaginae strain IRRI 6609 Pf_IRRI_6609_contig_6.6, whole genome shotgun sequence.